NNNNNNNNNNNNNNNNNNNNNNNNNNNNNNNNNNNNNNNNGCCACUGCACUCCAGCCUGGACAACAGAGCGAGACCCUGUCUCAAAAAAAAAAAAGUGAUUUAUUUUUCCCUUGAUUUAUUAAAAAUAUACCUCAGUACUGGGCAAAUCAGGAAAGUGGGUCACUCUACUUGCUGGAUCUAUGCAAACACCCCGUGUGACCAGAGGAGUCGGGACUGCAGCCAUCAGCAGCACUGAGUUCAACAGGCACGGUCCCAGAGGCCCACCCGAGACCUGCUACAUAAACACCGCCUUGAGUUCGCUACUGUCUGAUAUAUGCGAGUUUCUGAUAUGUGUUGCCAAAAGAGUUCUUAAGUGAUAGAAAUACUAAAUUGUGUUAUAAGUAUGAACCUGCAAUAAAAUAAAAUAUGAUUGAGAAUUUAUUUGAAAAAGAAUGAACUUGAAUAAACUAGUAAAUCUUGACAACCAACAACAGAAUAUUAGUCAGUGCUAAACAGAAAUGCACUAUCAAGACAUGGAAGGAAUCUCGAAUGCCUAUUGCUAAAUGAAAGAGGCCAACCUGCAAAGACCAAAUAAUGUGUGAUUCCACCUGUUCUGGAAAGGGCAAAAUAUGAAGGAAUUAAAUUACUGGUGGUUGUCAGGGGCUGGGGGAGGGAGGGAUGAAGAGGUGGAAAACACAGGCUUUUUAAGGCAGUGAAACUAUUCUGUAUGACACUGUGAUAAGGGAUGGAUGUCAUUAUGUAUUUGUCCAAAUUCAUAGAAUGCGUAACACGAGUGAGCCCUAAUGUCAAUGCUGCGCUCCAGGGGAUUAUGCCAUGUCCCUGUAGGUUCCCCAGCUGUUAUGUCCCACUGUGGGUGACUGGGAUCUCGACAGUCAGGGAGGAUGGCGGUGGGGAGGCUUGGAAAUCUGUACCUUCCGCUCAACUUUGCUGUGCUUAAAAGUGUUGCAAAAAAUAAAGUCUAUUAAAAAGAAAGACAAAUGUUUAAAGUUUCUUUCUUUUUUUGGUGGUGGGGGGCGGAAGCAGAGUGUUGUUCUGUCGCCCAGGCUGGAGUGCAGUGNUGUGAUCUCACUCAGGUCACUGCAACCUCCGCCUCCCGGGUUCAAGCGAUUCUCCUGCCUCAGCAUCCUGAGUAGCUGGGGUUACAGGUACCCGCCACCACGCCCGGCUAAUUUUUGUAUUUUUAGUAGAGCCAGGGUUUCACCAUGUUGGCCAGGAUGGUUUCAAACUCCUGACCUUAAGUGAUCCACCCGCCUCGGCCUCCCAAAGUACUAGGAUUACAAGCGUGAGCCACUGCGCCCGGCCAAGUUUAAAUGUUUUUAAGAAAACCUUUGCUAACCAAAUUAAGAGCAUACUUAAUAUUUAAGGAAAAUACUCCCUGCCAGUGUUAAGUUUGAAAUUUUCUGAGAGUUAAAUAACUUGCAGAAAAAUAAUUCAUAUGCCAUUUAUUAAAUCUGUGAUCUACUGGAAACAAAACCAUCAGGACUUGUGCUGGAUGUUUUUCUGAGCAGUUACACACAGGCCACUCCAAUUAUAAUGUCUCUACAUAAACAGAUGUAUGAUAUGGGACUUAACCAUGGCACAGUCGCUUCUCACUUACGUCUCUAAAUGGUUCUUCAGCAAGUCGUACACAAGCACAUUGUUAGACUGCUUCGCAAAGUGCAGGGCACUAUUCUGGUGCUUUGACAAAAUAUUGCAGUCAGCUCCACAUUCAAUUACGAGUCGUACGAUGUCUGAAUUUCCUCUUUUACAGGCCUACGUCAGGUAAAAAGGAGUAACAAUUACUUAGCUGUAAACUGUGGCAUGGGAGCUGGUCCCUUCUCCAUACAUGCCUGGGGGUUCUGUGAAGAGAGGGCACAGGCCAGGGAAGAAGGAUAGAGAACUUUUGGGGCUCGUCAGGCCACAGCGUUAGGAGUCACACAGCAUUGCUUAAAUGCAAGUGGGGAGUAUCUUUGACUCAGGGGCCAACAUAAAAAUCUGUGUG
rnacentral:lncRNA from 1 species